rnacentral:rRNA from 1 species
UUUAAUUCGACGCAACGCGAAGAACCUUACCCAGGCUGGACAUGCAGGUAGUAGAAGGGUGAAAGCCCAACGAGGUAGCAAUACCAUCCUGCUCAGGUGCUGCAUGGCUGUCGUUAGCUCGUGCCGUGAGGUGUUGGGUUAAGUCCCGCAACGAGCGCAACCCCUGUCUUCAGUUACCAACGGGUCAUGCCGGGAACUCUGGAGAGACUGCCCAGGAGAACGGGGAGGAAGGUGGGGAUGACGUCAAGUCAGCAUGGCCUUUAUGCCUGGGGCCACACACGUGCUACAAUGGCCGGUACAAAGGGCUGCAAACCCGCAAGGGGGAGCCAAUCCCAAAAAACCGGCCUCAGUUCAGAUUGAGGUCUGCAACUCACCCAUGAAGGCGGAAUCGCUAGUAAUCGCGGAUCAGCACGCCG